ACAUAGGCAUUUAAGAAAGAACAUGUAGGCUCAUAGAAGGGCUCUUCUUUAGAUACUAGGUGAACUAAUCAAACUUGAUAAUAAUGCAUGCUUUAGUUUAGGAUUUCUCGGCUUCUCCGGUUAUCUUAGCUCUAAGUAUAGAGAGUUUCGCGGAAUGCCACCGGUUACUCUAAAAUCAUAGUUUGAGUUUGAGAACGGUUCGAUAACAAUUUAGUUAUUUCUAGAUCUACUAUCAUCUAUUUCCUGAAAAUUCCCUAAGGCUGACGCUUUUAUUAUCUUGUUUUACAACCAUCCAAUCGAUUGCUAUUGCUUAAUUUUGUUUCCCUUUAUUUUAUUUAGUGUUUUACUUAGCAUAAUUCGAUUUGCCAUUAGUCUAUUGCGUGAUCCGAGAACUUUGUGAAUUCAAUCCCUAAGUGCUGCAACCGACCUCUUUAUUUGAGAGAGUGGUCUUAAGAUUAAUUUGACCUAUAUCAAAUUUGGCGCCGUUGCCGAAGUUCUCUUUUAUUCACCAUUAGACUAGGUGUAGAAUUUAGACUA
rnacentral:sRNA from 1 species